UUGGAAUAUGGAUAAAUCAAAAUAAUUUAUUUGGCAUUUAAUAGGAGAUCUAUUUUGGAGCAUUCAAAAAAGAUUUUUAUCCGAAUACAAUGAAAUAAACGGCAGGAAAAUAAUCAUAAUACUCCCAUUCGUAAACCCUUGAAAAUUCAAGCGUAAAAUCUUCCUUACAUUCUGAUCAUUAACACUUCCAUUUUUACAGAUUCCGACCUUGUUUUCGGAGAUUCAUCAUUCGAUGGUUUUCUGACCAGAAGUUGCAAUUCCACUGGUUAGGUUGGUACAAUCGAAAUAUGGAGAUCGAUAAAGCAAUAAAUGAAAGUGAUGAUGUAAGAUUGAAGACAAAAUACAACAACGCCGUCUACGUUAUCCAACGGGCUCUCGCCCUCUACUCUGUUGAAGAGGUUGCCUUAAGCCUCAAUGGAGGAAAGGAUUCAACUGU